rnacentral:rRNA from 1 species
UACGGAGGGUGCAAGCAUUGAUCGGAAUUACUGGGCGUAAAGGGUGCGUAGGCGGCCGAAAAAGUCAGAUGUGAAAUUCCGGGGCUCAACCCCGGAGCUGCAUUUGAAACUUUUCGGCUAGAGUACAGUUAGGGUAAACGGAAUUCCACGUGUAGCGGUGAAAUGCGUAGAUAUGUGGAAGAACACCGGUGGUGAAGACGGUUUACUGGGCUGAAACUGACGCUGAGGCACGAAAGCUAGGGGAGCAAACAGG